CUAACACAUGCAAGUCGAACGAAGUAGCAAUACUUAGUGGCAGACGGGUGAGUAACAUGUAGGUAUCUACCCUUUGGCCUGGAAUAACACGAGGAAACUUGUGCUAAUACCGGAUAAGUCUUUACGGAGAAAGCUUUAUGCACCAUUGGAUGAGCCUGCACUUGAUUAGUUUGUUGGUAAGGUAAAAGCUUACCAAGGCAACGAUCAAUAGCUGUUCUUAGAGGAAGACCAGCCACAUUGGGACUGAGACACGGCCCAGACUCCUACGGGAGGCAGCAGUGGGGAAUCUUGCACAAUGGGGGAAACCCUGAUGCAGCGAUGCCGCGCGAGUGAAGAAGGCCCUUGGGUUGUAAAACUCUUUCGUCGGGGAAGAAAAUGACUGUACCCGAAUAAGAAGGUCCGGCUAACUUCGUGCCAGCAGCCGCGGUAAUACGAAGGGACCUAGCGUAGUUCGGAAUUACUGGGCUUAAAGAGCUCGUAGGUGGUUAAAAAAGUUGAUGGUGAAAUCCCA
rnacentral:rRNA from 1 species